rnacentral:lncRNA from 1 species
UUAGGUUUGGAGAGCAGAAACUGAAGGAGAAAGAAGGCCAAGAAGCAUGGAAUUGAUGGAGAACUUAAAGAGGAUUGAAAAGAGGAGUUUCAGAAGCCAAAAAGUCCUUUUCAGGCGAGCUUAAGCGCCUAGGCGCUGGGAAUGGGCGCCUAGGCGCCAAUUAGGUCCAGAGGCAUGUUUUUCAACAAGCAAUUGGCGCUCAUGCGCUCUGAAUUGGCGCCUGAGCGCCCAUAACAGCCCAGCCUCGUUUAUUUUGCCUAUAAAUAGGAUUUUAGUCAUUUUCUUUGGCAAUUUUUUCAUACUUUGUAAAGUUCAGAGGUAGAGGAUCAUCUAGGAGAGUGAGAGAAGGCUUCCAAGCUUGUAAUUCAGGUUCUUAGCCAAGCAUGGCUCUUCUCUUCUUAUGCUUUGGUUUUCAUGUAAGACUUUUCAUCUUUAAGUUAUAAUCUUAAGUUCUUUCCCACAUAUUCUUCUUCUUUCCUUGAAUCCCAUUUUCUGAAUUUCAAUCUAGGCUUGUAUGCAUGCUUGCUUUAUACUAUUCUAUAAUCAGAACGGAAGUUUGUUAUAGAUUAGGGAACCGAUUUGGGAUUACCCCUUCUAUGCUUGCUACUAGGAAUAGAGGAAGGGUUGGGGAUUGAUGGCCUGAAUUUGCAUGAUCUAAAACCUCAUAUAAAUGACUAAGUACACAAGGAAUUGGGCUUAGCUUUUAGUAUGCGAGAAUUGCUUAUGUGAGGAAUCAAUAAGUGAGUAACUAGGCUAUAUCAUCAAGGAGAGAUCCAUGAGAACAUGUGCAUAGAAUGAUGUGCUUAAAUUGACUAGUUGAACAAGAACCCAAAGCAUGUUAUUAUUUUCUGAAUUGUCUUUUUAUUUUUCCUUUUCCUUAUUACUACUUCAACAUAUCUCUUAUUCAAUAAUACAAACCUUCAUACUCAAGGUUUAAGCUGAAUUUAGUCACUCACAAUCCCUGUGGUUCGAUAUUUAAAACCGGGUGGAUUCCGUACACUUGCGGAUUUACCAACAAGUUUUUGGCUCCGUUGCCGGGGAUUGUUUGUGAUUUUUGGUUUGAGUUACGAUUUUGAAGUUUAGUCUACCUAAGACUUAAACUUAGGGCUGAAUGGGAGACAACCCAUGUUUUUUUUCUGUUUUACGUUUUGUCUUCUGUUUUGUUUUUCAGGAAAUAAAAGCCAUUGGAGAACACUUGGAGCACUCAAUCACUUGGAAGGAGGUUCUUUUCUUACUCUGAAUUUUAGUCCAUGCAUUGUUAGCAUAUUUUUCUUUUAUAGAUUUUGUUUAACUUUUUUAUCAUGCAUUUUUUUUUAUAGAGUCUUUCAUACCUUGGUCUUUUCACCCUUUACUCAAAUGACAUGUUCCCAAGUCUUGCUCACUCACAUGUUGCUGGUUUUGAAAAUGUUUUUAAGUGGAUACUUUGUGCUUUCUUUUGGGGAGUGAUUGUAUGUUUGGGAAAGAGAGGGAGAGACUUCGGUCUUCUAAGUGUGUCUUGAGGAUAGAGUUGAUGUGAGUCCACAAGGGUCCAUCUUUGACCCUUCACUAUAUAAUUUCCCUGGAGGAUCCUGACUCACUUGCACUUCUUGGUUCUGUGUUUCAUUUGAUGCCUCCUUGAGUGUAGCUUUAGGAGACUUGCAUUCUUGAGACUGGUAGGUUUUCUUGUACUUCAGAAAUUGUUUUAUAACAUCUUUGUCCCUAGUUGACCCUUUUUGAGCCUUAUGGAGAUUUCUUUGUUACCUUUGUUAUUUGGGCUGGUUGUUUGGUUGGAAAAAUGAGGAGUUGUGGUUCUUAACUCUCAAUGGAGCUAGUUUAUAGAAAAUGCAAUUGUCUCUUGCCCCAAAGAAAAAAAUUCAAAAAAUUCAAAAGAUGAACUCCAUGGUCGGAUGGAGUUCCAAAAAAAAAAGUCAAAAGAAAAAAAUGAACUCCAUGGAAUGGGUGGAGUUCCAAAAAAAAAGGAAAAAAUAUGAAACAAAAAGGGGUUAAGAGACUUGUGUGCUAAGUGUUAAUUGCUUUAAGCUCCGGUUUUCAUGAAGGACCACACUCAAAUUUUAUGCAGCCUUAGUCUUCCUUAGGGACCACCUACCUUGUGCUUUACCUAGCCAACAUUACAACCCUUUUGAUGUCUCAUUGAAUAAUGCAUUGUCAACUUUAGUUGCUCUUGAGUGAAUGAUUCUCAGAACCUAUGAACUUGCUUGUGUGCUCAGUGCACUAAACAAUUGUCUCAUGCUAGGAUGUUAGCUCUAAAUGCUUCUCAUAUUGGACUCUAAUUCUUCUUUAUCUAAGAGUAGCAUGAAGUUGAUUGUUGAAUCUUUCUCUUGGAACUAACUGCAUUUACUAGAUCCCCCGGUUUUCUAAAAAUGUAUCCUUCUUUUGGCAUGUGUGUUGGGAGUAAUUCUUUGUGCUUGAGGGCAAGCUAAUCUUAGUGACGCUCGAGGGCGAGCUGUCGUUGAGUAUAGUGGUGUGAUGACCCGGGUUUAUAUGAUGUUUUUAGGGUUUUUCCUUGUAGGUUUUGAGUCUUUUUCUUGUGUCUCAUGUAGUGUUUCAUGCAUUCUCAUGCAUUUUUAUCUUUUCUUGAGUCUUUGUUUUGUUUUGGUAAUUUUGUAGUUUUAUAGGGAGUUUUUUUGCAUUUUAAGUUAAGUUUAGGACUUGCAUGAUUUUCUUUUGUUUUAUGAAGGACCUCUUGUGCUAAUGAGCUCUUGGAGCUUCUAGAAUCUUCCUUGACUUGUUGGUUAGGUUUGGAGAGCAGAAACUGAAGGAGAAAGAAGGCCAAGAAGCAUGGAAUUGAUGGAGAACUUAAAGAGGAUUGAAAAGAGGAGUUUCAGAAGCCAAAAAGUCCUUUUCAGGCGAGCUUAAGCGCCUAGGCGCUGGGAAUGGGCGCCUAGGCGCCAAUUAGGUCCAGAGGCAUGUUUUUCAACAUGCAAUUGGCGCUCAGGCGCUCUGAAUUGGCGCCUGAGCGCCCAGAACAGCCCAGCCUCGUUUAUUUUGCCUAUAAAUAGGAUUUUAGUCAUUUUCUUU